rnacentral:rRNA from 1 species
AUACGGAGGGUGCGAGCGUUAAUCGGAAUUACUGGGCGUAAAGCGCGCGUAGGCGGUUUGGUCAGUCGGAUGUGAAAGCCCUGGGCUCAACCCGGGAAUGGCAUUCGAUACUGCCUGACUAGAGUAUGGUAGAGGGAAGUGGAAUUUCCGGUGUAGCGGUAAAAUGCGUAGAUAUCGGAAGGAACACCAGUGGCGAAGGCGACUUUCUGGGCCAAUACUGACGCUAAGGUGCGAAAGCGUGGGGAGCAAACAGGAUUAGAAACCCCGGUAGUCC